AAUGAACGCUGGCGGCGUGCCUAAUACAUGCAAGUCGAGCGAACGGACGAGAAGCUUGCUUCUCUGAUGUUAGCGGCGGACGGGUGAGUAACACGUGGAUAACCUACCUAUAAGACUGGGAUAACUCCGGGAAACCGGAGCUAAUACCGGAUAAUAUUUUGAACCGCAUGGUUCAAAAGUGAAAGACGGUCUUGCUGUCACUUAUAGAUGGAUCCGCGCUGCAUUAGCUAGUUGGUAAGGUAACGGCUUACCAAGGCAACGAUGCAUAGCCGACCUGAGAGGGUGAUAGGCCACACUGGAACUGAGACACGGUCCAGACGCCUACGGGAGGCAGCAGUAGGGAAUCUUCCGCAAUGGGCGAAAGCCUGACGGAGCAACGCCGCGUGAGUGAUGAAGGUCUUCGGAUCGUAAAACUCUGUUAUUAGGGAAGAACAUAUGUGUAAGUAACUGUGCACAUCUUGACGGUACCUAAUCAGAAAGCAACGGCUAACUACGUG
rnacentral:rRNA from 1 species